UAAUCAAAACUUUUAACAACGGAUCUCUUGGUUCUGGCAUCGAUGAAGAACGCAGCGAAAUGCGAUAAGUAAUGUGAAUUGCAGAAUUCAGUGAAUCAUCGAAUCUUUGAACGCACAUUGCGCCCGCCAGCAUUCUGGCGGGCAUGCCUGUUCGAGCGUCAUUUCAACCCUCAAGCUCUG
rnacentral:rRNA from 1 species